rnacentral:rRNA from 1 species
AGAGUUUGAUUCUGGCUCAGAACGAACGCUGGCAGCGUGGAUUAGGCAUGCAAGUCGAACGUGAAGCCGAUGACCAAUCUUUCGGGAAAGUGAUUCGGUGGAAAGUGGCGAAAGGGUGAGUAACGCGUGGGUAAGCUAUCUUCAAGUUCGGGACAACCCGCCGAAAGGCGAGCUAAUACCGAAUGUGGUCUUUGGAUGCAUAUCCGGAUGAUUAAAGGUGGGGCUCCUUUUGGACCUGCCGCUUUUAGAGGUGCCCGCGUGCCAUCAGCUUGUUGGUAGGGUAACGGCCUACCAAGGCUUACGGCUAGCCGGCCUGAGAGGGUGACCGGCCACACUGGGACUGAGACACUGCCCAGACUCCUACGGGAGGCUGCAGUCGAGGAUCAUUCGCAAUGCGCGAAAGCGUGACGAUGCGACGCUGCGUGGAGGAUGAAGGCCGUCGGGUCGUAAACUCCUGUCAUGAGGGAACAGCCAUUUCGCCCCUAAUACGGGUGGGAUCCGAUGGUACCUCAAGAGGAAGCCACGGCUAACUCUGUGCCAGCAGCCGCGGUAAUACAGAGGUGGCGAGCGUUGUUCGGAUUUACUGGGCGUAAAGGGUGCGUAGGUGGUUUUGUAUGUCGGAUGUGAAAGCCCAUGGCUCAACCGUAAUUGCAUUCGAAACUGCGGAACUAGAGUGCAGGAUGGGAGAGCGGAAUUCUUGGUGUAGCGGUGAAAUACGUUGAUAUCAAGAAGAACACCGGUGGCGAAGGCGGCUCUCUGGAAUGUCACUGACACUGAGGCACGAAAGCUGGGGGAGCAAACAGGAUUAGAUACCCUGGUAGUCCCAGCCGUAAACGGUGCACACUUGGUGUGGGGAGAUUUAACCCUCUCCGUGCCGGAGCUAACGCGUUAAGUGUGCCGCCUGGGGAGUACGGCCGCAAGGCUAAAACUCAAAGAAAUUGACGGGGGCCCGCACAAGCGGAGGAGCAUGUGGCUUAAUUCGAUGCAACGCGAAGAACCUUACCAGGGCUUGACAUAUACCUGCACGCCCCUCGAAAGGGGGGAAGCCUUCGAGGGUGGUAUACAGGUGCUGCAUGGCUGUCGUCAGUUCGUGCUGUGAGGUGUUGGGUUAAGUCCCGUAACGAACGCAACCCUUGUGGUUAGUUGCCACCGGCGGUGAUGAGCCGCCGAGCACUCUAGCCAGACUGCCCGUACAAGCGGGAGGAAGGUGGGGAUGACGUCAAGUCAGUAUGGCCCUUACGCCCUGGGCUGCACACGUGCUACAAUGGGCGGUACAAUGGGAAGCAAUACCGCGAGGUGGAGCAAAUCCCCAAAGCCGCCCCCAGUUCGGAUUGAAGUCUGCAACUCGACUUCAUGAAGUUGGAUUCGCUAGUAACGGCGCAUCAGCUACGGCGCCGUGAAUACGUUCCCGGGCCUUGUAUACACCGCCCGUCACAUCAUGAAAGCCGUCUGCACCCGAAGUCGCUGAUCCAACCCGCAAGGGAGGAAGGUGCCGAAGGUGUGGGUGGUGAUUGGGAUGAAGUCGUAACAAGGUA